GUUGAAGAGAAAGGACUUGUAAACAGCAUUGUGGAGUUAGGAAAAUGCUGAGAAGAUGACCCUAGGAAAACGAGCAGCUUUCACAAUAGAGAUAUUCAGAAGAAGCUUUGCCCUUUAGAGAGAGCUGGGUUCCAGGGAAGGCAAGAAGUCAACUGAAGAUAUUGUGUCAAAUGACUUACGGGAUUAGUGAGAAGGUUGAAGAAACAGACUCUAGUUUGGCUCCUAGGAAUGACUCCCAAACAACAUUGCAGAAUAGUAUCAUCAAGG
rnacentral:lncRNA from 1 species